GGCUUGUUGGUCUAGUGGUAUGAGUCUUGCUUAGGGUACAAGAGGUCCCGAGUUCAAUUCUCGGACAAGCCC